rnacentral:rRNA from 1 species
GAUGAACGCUGGCGGCGUGCCUAAUACAUGCAAGUCGAGCGAACAGACGAGGAGAUUGCUCCUCUGACGUUAGCGGCGGACGGGUGAGUAACACGUGGAUAACCUACCUAUAAGAAUGGGAUAACUUCGGGAAACCGGAGCUAAUACCGGAUAAUAUAUUGAACCGAAUGGUUCCAUAGUGAAAGACGGUUUUGCUGUCCCUUAUAGAUGGAUCCGCGCCGCAUUAGCUAGUUGGUAAGGUAACGGCUUACCAAGGCAACGAUGCGUAGCCGACCUGAGAGGGUGAUCGGCGACACUGGAACUGAGACACGGUCCAGACUCCUACGGGAGGCAGCAGUAGGGAAUCUUCCGCAAUGGGCGAAAGCCUGACGGAGCAACGCCGCGUGAGUGAUGAAGGUCUUCGGAUCGUAAAACUCUGUUAUUAGGGAAGAACAAAUGUGUAAGUAACUAUGCACGUCUUGACGGUACCUAAUCAGAAAGCCACGGCUAACUACGUG